rnacentral:rRNA from 1 species
UACGGAGGGUGCGAGCGUUGUCCGGAAUCACUGGGCGUAAAGGGCGCGUAGGCGGCCUUCUAAGUCGGACGUGAAAGCCCCAGGCUUAACCUGGGAACUGCGUCCGAUACUGGGAGGCUUGGAUUCGGGAGAGGGAUGUGGAAUUCCAGGUGUAGCGGUGAAAUGCGUAGAUAUCUGGAGGAACACCGGUGGCGAAGGCGGCAUCCUGGACCGAGAUCGACGCUGAGGCGCGAAAGCUAGGGGAGCAAACGGG